GAUGAACGCUGACAGAAUGCUUAACACAUGCAAGUUAACUUGAAUUUGGGUUUUUAACUUAGGUUUGGGUGGCGGACGGGUGAGUAACGCGUAAAGAACUUGCCUCACAGCUAGGGACAACAUUUGGAAACGAAUGCUAAUACCUAAUAUUAUGAUAAUAGGGCAUCCUAUAAUUAUGAAAGCUAUAAGCGCUGUGAGAGAGCUUUGCGUCCCAUUAGCUAGUUGGAGAGGUAACGGCUCACCAAGGCGAUGAUGGGUAGCCGGCCUGAGAGGGUGAUCGGCCACAAGGGGACUGAGACACGGCCCUUACUACUACGGGAGGCAGCAGUGGGGAAUAUUGGACAAUGGACCGAGAGUCUGAUCCAGCAAUUCUGUGUGCACGAUGAAGUUUUUCGGAAUGUAAAGUGCUUUCAGUUGGGAAGAAACAAAUGACGGUACCAACAGAAGAAGUGACGGCUAAAUACGUG
rnacentral:rRNA from 1 species